rnacentral:rRNA from 1 species
GAGUUUGAUCAUGGCUCAGAUUGAACGCUGGCGGCAUGCCUUACACAUGCAAGUCGAACGGUAGAGGUAGCAAUACCUUGAGAGUGGCGAACGGGUGAGUAAUACAUCGGAACAUGCCCAACUGUGGGGGAUAACGUAGCGAAAGUUACGCUAAUACCGCAUACGAUCUAAGGAUGAAAGCGGGGGACCGUAAGGCCUCGCGCAGUUGGAGUGGCUGAUGUCAGAUUAGCUAGUUGGUAGGGUAAAAGCCUACCAAGGCAACGAUCUGUAGCUGGUCUGAGAGGACGACCAGCCACACUGGGACUGAGACACGGCCCAGACUCCUACGGGAGGCAGCAGUGGGGAAUUUUGGACAAUGGACGAAAGUCUGAUCCAGCAAUGCCGCGUGCAGGACGAAGGCCUUCGGGUUGUAAACUGCUUUUGUACGGAGCGAAAAGGUUUUCUUUAAUACAGAGAGCCCAUGACGGUACCGUAAGAAUAAGCACCGGCUAACUACGUGCCAGCAGCCGCGGUAAUACGUAGGGUGCAAGCGUUAAUCGGAAUUACUGGGCGUAAAGCGUCCGCAGGCGGUUCUAUAAGACAGAUGUGAAAUCCCUGGGCUCAACCUAGGAACUGCAUUUGUGACUGUAGAGCUAGAGUACGGCAGAGGGGGAUGGAAUUCCGCGUGUAGCAGUGAAAUGCGU